GCAGGCCUUAACACAUGCAAGUCGAGCGGUAGCACAGGGGAGCUUGCUCCCUGGGUGACGAGCGGCGGACGGGUGAGUAAUGUCUGGGAAACUGCCUGAUGGAGGGGGAUAACUACUGGAAACGGUAGCUAAUACCGCAUAACGUCGCAAGACCAAAGAGGGGGACCUUCGGGCCUCUUGCCAUCAGAUGUGCCCAGAUGGGAUUAGCUAGUAGGUGGGGUAAUGGCUCACCUAGGCGACGAUCCCUAGCUGGUCUGAGAGGAUGACCAGCCACACUGGAACUGAGACACGGUCCAGACUCCUACGGGAGGCAGCAGUGGGGAAUAUUGCACAAUGGGCGCAAGCCUGAUGCAGCCAUGCCGCGUGUGUGAAGAAGGCCUUCGGGUUGUAAAGCACUUUCAGCGAGGAGGAAGGUGGUGAACUUAAUACGCUCAUCAAUUGACGUUACUCGCAGAAGAAGCACCGGCUAACUCCGUGCCAGCAGCCGCGGUAAUACGGAGGGUGCAAGCGUUAAUCGGAAUUACUGGGCGUAAAGCGCACGCAGGCGGUUUGUUAAGUCAGAUGUGAAAUCCCCGGGCUCAACCUGGGAACUGCAUUUGAAACUGGCAAGCUAGAGUCUCGUAGAGGGGGGUAGAAUUCCAGGUGUAGCGGUGAAAUGCGUAGAGAUCUGGAGGAAUACCGGUGGCGAAGG
rnacentral:rRNA from 1 species